AUUGAACGCUGGCGGCAGGCUUAACACAUGCAAGUCGAGCGGAGAGAGGUAGCUUGCUACUGAUCUUAGCGGCGGACGGGUGAGUAAUGCUUAGGAAUCUGCUUAUUAGUGGGGGACAACAUUUCGAAAGGAAUGCUGAUACCGCAUACGUCCUACGGGAGAAAGCAGGGGAUCUUCGGACCUUGCGCUAAUAGAUGAGCCUAAGUCGGAUUAGCUAGUUGGUGGGGUAAAGGCCUACCAAGGCGACGAUCUGUAGCGGGUCUGAGAGGAUGAUCCGCCACACUGGGACUGAGACACGGCCCAGACUCCUACGGGAGGCAGCAGUGGGGAAUAUUGGACAAUGGGGGGAACCCUGAUCCAGCCAUGCCGCGUGUGUGAAGAAGGCCUUAUGGUUGUAAAGCACUUUAAGCGAGGAGGAGGCUUCUUUGGUUAAUACCCAAAGUAAGUGGACGUUACUCGCAGAAUAAGCACCGGCUAACUCUGUGCCAGCCGCCGCAGUAACAC
rnacentral:rRNA from 1 species